GCAAUAGUAGCUUAGCUGGAUAGAGCACUCGGCUACGAACCGAGAGGUCGGGGGUUCGAAUCCCUCCUGUUGCACCA
rnacentral:tRNA from 1 species